rnacentral:rRNA from 1 species
CAGCAGCCGCGGGAAUACGGAGGGUGCAAGCGUUAUCCGGAUUCACUGGGUUUAAAGGGUGCGUAGGCGGAUCUGUAAGUCAGUGGUGAAAUCUCCAGGCUUAACCUGGAAACUGCCGUUGAUACUAUAGGUCUUGAAUUUUGUGGAUGUUAGCGGAAUAUGUCAUGUAGCGGUGAAAUGCAUAGAUAUGACAUAGAACACCAAUUGCGAAGGCAGCUGGCUACACAACUAUUGACGCUGAGGCACGAAAGCGUGGGGAUCAAACAGGAUUAGAUACCCCCGUAGUCCCUGUCUCUUAUAA